UACGUAGGGCGCGAGCGUUGUCCGGAAUCAUUGGGCGUAAAGAGCUCGUAGGCGGCCGGUUGCGUCUGCUGUGAAAUCCCGGGGCUUAACCCCGGGCGUGCAGUGGAUACGGGCUGGCUGGAGGCAGGCAGGGGAGAAUGGAAUUCUCGGUGUAGAGGUGAAAUUCGUAGAUAUCGAGAGGAACACCGGUGGCGAAGGCGGCCAACUGGACGAAUACUGACGCUGAGACACGAAAGCGUGGGGAGCAAACAGG
rnacentral:rRNA from 1 species